rnacentral:tRNA from 1 species
AAGCCCAAGCGGUGGAACCACACCAAAGUGCAAAUUUGGAGACGCACCCCAAUAAGGUGCCGGGGCUUC